GCGCCCGCACAGCACACGCAGAAGGACCCUUCGCGCGGGGACUGUCCCAGAGACUCGCCUGCGCUCCGCCGCCACGUUGCGAAUCCCACACCGCCUCCGAAGCCGUGUCUGCUCAGCCUUGGGUAACAGGAUGGCUCUCUGCAAGGAUUCCCAUCAGGAACUUAAGGAUCCAGCAAGGAGAGCUGAAAACUGCCUUCUUAGGAGAGGUCCUGGAGGUUUUCUGGAUAUUGGAGGCCCCAAACCCAAUCAGAUUCCAAGUGCCAGACUAUUGGGACAUGGGUUCAAGCCCUGGUCCAGGAAGAUCCCACAUGCCGCGGAGCAACUAAGCCCGUGCGCCACAACCACUGAAGCCCACGCGCCUAGAGCCCAUACUCCGCAACAAGAGAAGCCACCACAAUGAGAAGCCCGCACACCACAACGAAGACUAGCCCCCGCUCGCCGCAACUAGAGAAAGCCCACACGCAGCAAUGAAGACCCAAUGCAGCCAAAAAUAAAUAAAUAAAUAAAUAAAAAACAAAAACAAUGGGUAUCCCUGGUGGCGCCUGCCAAUGCAGGGGACAUGGGUUCAAGCCCUGGUCCAGGAAGAUACCACAUGACGCAGAGCAACUAAGCCCAUGUGCCACAACUACUGAGCUUGCGCUCUAGCGCCCGCGAGCCACAACUACUGAAGCCCGCAUGCCUAGAGCCCAUGCUCCGCAACAAGAGAAGCCAUCGCAAUGAGAAGCCCACGCACUGCAACAA